CUACGGGGCGCUCCAGUAGGGAAUUUUCGGCAAUGGAGGAAACUCUGACCGAGCAACGCCGCGUGAAUGAAGACAUAUUUCGGUAUGUAAAGUUCUUUUAUUAGGGAAGAAUAGCCCAUGGAAAAAUGGGUGUGACGGUACCUAAUGAAUAAGCCCCGGCUAACUAUGUGCCAGCAGCCGCGGUAAUACAUAGGGGGCAAGCGUUAUCCGGAAUUAUUGGGCGUAAAGGGUGCGUAGGCGGCCAUUUAAGUCUUUGGUAUAAGUGCAGUGCUUAACGCUGUGAUGCUAAGGAAACUGAAUGGCUUGAGUGAGAUAGAGGCAAGUGGAAUUCCAUGUGUAGCGGUAAAAUGCGUAAAUAUAUGGAGGAACACCAGUGGCGAAGGCGGCUUGCUGGGUCUACACUGACGCUGAGGCACGAAAGCGUGGGGAGCAAACAGGAUUAGAUACCCCUGUAGUC
rnacentral:rRNA from 1 species